ensembl:lncRNA
CCUGGUGGUAGAACGAGGUCACGCUGACACACGCGAUACACACACGCGGAGUGAUGGCGGCAUGCCAUCAAUUAAACAAAUGAAACAUAAUGAGAAACAGACGAGAGGGAGAGAUCAGCCAGAGGUCUCUCCCUCCUGCUCCUCUCUCAGACCAGAGCAGAAGAUGAGUGAGUCGGUACCACCAGCGCAGCAGCGGACUACAGAGGGGCUACACUGACACGCCGUGCCCAUCAGCCCGUGGGCACUGCGGCAUGAAUGUAACAGCUGGACUCGUGCGAUAACUAAGAGCAGCACUGAGGAGGAGGAGGAGGAGGAGGAGGAAGAGGACAAUAGGCUGCGUCCAGUCCUGUCCAUCCAGCCGGUGGGUGGAUACAGCAGCCAGCCCCCCCGUCCCCUCACCACCACCACCCCCCACCACCACCCCACCACCACC